UCCCUAGGUCCACUGUUCUUCGGGUAGUC
rnacentral:piRNA from 1 species